UACGUAGGGGGCAAGCGUUGUCCGGAUUUAUUGGGCGUAAAGAGCGUGUAGGCGGCCAUACAGGUCCGUUGUGAAAACUGGAGGCUUAACCUCCAGACGUCGAUGGAAACCGUAUGGCUAGAGUCCGGAAGAGGAGAGUGGAAUUCCUGGUGUAGCGGUGAAAUGCGCAGAUAUCAGGAAGAACACCUAUGGCGAAGGCAGCUCGCUGGGACGUUACUGACGCUGAGGAGCGAAAGCGUGGGGAGCGAACAGG
rnacentral:rRNA from 1 species